rnacentral:misc_RNA from 1 species
AUGAACAGCUUGAGGUAUAAAUUUAUUCCUUAAAAAAGGAGUUCUGUUAAGAUUUGAGAGGUGUUUUUGACUUUGCAUCUUGAGUCUAUGUGGCGAAUUUGUGCAUUAUAAUGCCUCGUAACAAAAAAAAUGGUUUGGUGCAUUGAAGCAUAGGGUUAAUCACAACUGUGUUUCUAAACUUAUAACUGUAUUUCAGUUUAGUCACUUAAUUUCAAUUUCACAAAAAAAUUCUGCAACUAUAAUUUGUGUUUCAAUUAAAUCAUUAUGGCCAUAUUUAAGCAGAUAUUUGGUCAGAUUCUUGACAUAGUAAUCAACUAAAAAAAAUUCUCAUGGGCCACCUUUGAUUGGAAAGUUAAAUUAAUAUAAUAUUACUUAACUAUUACAUCAAAACUCCAAACUUAUUGAAAUUCUGUUAUGGUUGACCUUGUUAAAAUACAAACGUUAGUUGAGCAAUUUUUAUGUGACAAAUUGAAAUCUAGUGGUUGUGUUGGCAUUUAGUGAUAAUUUCAAUGACAAAUGGAUGAAAUUAAGUUAUGGUGUUUAUGAUACUGGCAUCCAUGUAUAAAUGGAUAUGGUCCUUAG